rnacentral:lncRNA from 1 species
AUAUCACGGAACAUUAAUUCAGUAGUUAAACUUUGCCGUUCUUUGCUGCUUCUUUCCCAGGUGGUUUACACUUUGUUCGAAGCCCUGGAAGAGGAAGAAACACCGAGGGCAAAUUGAGCUCUCUUUCCUCUUUUUUAAGAUGUCAGGGAACCUCGAGGCUCCAGUCAAGAAGACCUCCAGGUCCUUGUCUUCGAUCCCUGAAAAAAAAUUAUUCUGGAAAAGAGACCGAAUUGCAUUCUGCUCAUGGAGGACUAAGAAAAAUGUUUUAAAAUACGGGGAGCCAAGUUCGUCACCUUGUGCGCUGGACCCAGAGCCUUCUUCCUCAACAUGUGUACCUGUUCGCUGCCCUGACCCGGGAGCUGGCACUGAGAGACCCUGCUCUAGCGACGAAGGUUCCCCGGCAGGAAUGGCAGUCAGCUUGGGGGAGGAGGCAGAGAGCAAGGCAGCGGAUGUGACUGGCCAGGACCCCGGGGAAGGCUCUUCUGUGAGGCUGGUGCAGAAAGGCAGAGCAAGCGCAGAGGCUGGACAGGACGGGCGCACCCUUCCGCUGCGUGCGGGCAGCUCCGGCUCCGGCAGGAGGAGAGUUUUUUUCACCUCCGGGCGCCUGCCCUUCGGGAGAGAAAGAGCAGGGGGGAUCUUGGGCCGCCGGUCUUUAAAUACCUCUCCGGGGGCGUCCACACGCGCAGCGUUCCCCCCAGUGUGUCUUAAAGACACGCAGUCCCGCCCCCGGGAGGCAGCCUCCUCUAUGAAGAGAGUGUGGUGCUGUGUUUCCUGGGGGCGCUGCUGCCCCUGCUUGUGAAGGACAGCACAAGGGCCCGAGGGCCUGCCGUUCCAGGGAAAGGCAAGCACAGAUCACAACGGAGCUGAGACAUCUAACCCAGCACCCCGAAAGACCCAGCUUCUUCCCCGGAAGCAGUCCCAUGGCCAAGUGCCCUUCUGUCCCCAGAAGACAGCACUCACAUUAAAGUCAACAGCUGACCGUUCUGAUAGAACAGUCCCGGUAUUCAAAAGAUUUACUCUGGCUGUGUUGCACUAGGUGUUUGUUUGUUAACCUUCACAAGAAAAAG